CCAAUAGCGUAUAUUAAAGUUGUUGCAGUUAAAAAGCUCGUAGUUGAACUUCGAGGUCUACCCAUUGGUCAGGCUUAAUUGUCUGCACUGGUGAGAUGGAUCUCUACCUUCUGAGGAACUUUCAUGCCAUUUAUUUGGUGUGAUGGGAAAUCAGGACUGUUACUUUGAAAAAAUUAGAGUGUUUAAAGCAGACUAUCGUC
rnacentral:rRNA from 1 species